GGCAAUCCUGGUGAAUUCACGAUGCUGGAGCUGGCUAAGGUGGUCCAGGACACCAUCGACAAAGAAGCACGCAUUGAGUUCCGUCCAAACACUGCAGAUGAUCCACAUAAGCGCAAGCCUGACAUCAGCCGUGCCAAAGAGCUUCUUGGCUGGGAGCCCAAGGUUCCCCUACACGAGGGCCUCCCCCUCAUGGUCACAGACUUCCGCAAACGUAUCUUUGGGGACCAGGGAGAAUUCACUGAGGCAGCUGGUGGCCUUUCUUAAUCGUCACCAUGUCAAAGUGACGCAUUUGUUCAGUCUGUAUGAUCAUCACUUACACGAAAAAU
rnacentral:lncRNA from 1 species